AUGACAGGGGGUCCCGCUAGACAGGGUGAUGUGGCAAAAAAGAAAAAACAAUUACAUACUGGUACAAUUUUGUUUUGCAAAAAGACCCCUGGAAAAAAGCAAUCGGGUCCUCCACGCCAGAUCACGCCGCUGCAGAAGUCCAUGGCCAGGGGCGCCGCCGUUCGCGAGGUUGAACUCGGCCAGCCAGCGCAUGGGGGAGGGGGGGGUGCUGCUCGGUCGGCGCAGGGGAGCUGGCUCUGCUCCGGCCAGCGCAGGGAGACGCAGUGGAGCUGCGGCUCGGCUGGCGCGGGGAGUUGCUGCUGCUUGGCCGGCGCAGGGAGUUGCCUCUGCUUUGCCGGCGCAUGGGGAGGCGCGGUGGAGCUACUGCUUGUGGCCCGGCGGCCUCGGCCCGCACGCCGGCGCGCUCGAGCUCCACCAGCUCGGACGUCAGUCAAUGGCGACGACGGUUGGCGGCGGCCCGGCUUGCAAGGCCAGGAGGAAGCGGGUAUGCGGCGGCGCGACGGAUUACGUCCGAUUCCGGCUGGCGGCGGAGCUUCGCAUGGUCCAACGGCAAUGACAGAGCUCUACUCGUGGCGCAUGGUCGCGACCUUAUCCUCUUCCUCUUCUUUUUGA
rnacentral:rRNA from 1 species